AGCAGCCGCGGUAAUUCCAGCUCCAAUAGCGUAUAUUAAAGUUGUUGCAGUUAAAAAGCUCGUAGUUGAAUUUCGGGAUCAAUCUAUCGGUCGUGCAAUAGUACGUACUGAUUUUAUUGAUUCCUACCUUCUGAUGAACUAUGAUGUCAUUAAUUUGGUGUCAUAGGGAAUCAGGACUGUUACUUUGAAAAAUUAGAGUGUUUAAAGCAGGCUCACGCUUGAAUACAUUAGCAUGGAAUAACGAAAUAGGACGUUUGAUUCUAUUUUGUUGGUUUCUAGGAUCGACGUAAUGAUUAAUAGGGAUAGUUGGGGGCAUUAGUAUUCAAUUGUCAGAGGUGAAAUUCUUGGAUUUAUUGAAGACUAACUACUGCGAAAGCAUUUGCCAAGGAUGUUUUCAUUAAUCAAGAACGAAAGUUAGGGGAUCGAAGACGAUCAGAUACCGUCGUAGUCUUAACCAUAAACUAUGCCGACUAGGGAUCGGAUGAUGUUAAUUUUUAAUGUACUCU
rnacentral:sRNA from 1 species